rnacentral:rRNA from 1 species
AGUGAACGCUGGCGGUAGGCCUAACACAUGCAAGUCGAACGGCAGCACAGUAAGAGCUUGCUCUUACGGGUGGCGAGUGGCGGACGGGUGAGGAAUACAUCGGAAUCUACUUUUUCGUGGGGGAUAACGUAGGGAGACUUACGCUAAUACCGCAUACGACCUACGGGUGAAAGCAGUGGAACUUCGGACCUUGCGCGAUUGAAUGAGCCGAUGUCGGAUUAGCUAGUUGGGGGGGUAAAGGCCCACCAAGGCGACGAUCCGUAGCUGGCCUGAGAGGAUGAUCAGCCACACUGGAACUGGAACCGGGUCCAGACUCCUACGGGAGGCGGCAGAGGGGAAUAUUCGACAAUGGGGGAAAGCCUGAUCCAGCCAGACCGCGUGGGUGAAGAAGGCCUUCGGGUUGUAAAGCCCUUUUGUUGGGAAAGAAAAGCAGCAGGCUAAUACCCCGCUGUUCUGACGGUACCCAAACAAUAAGCCCCGGCUAACUACGUG